UCUUUGAUGGUCUAGUGGUCAUGAUUUCCGCUUGUCAUUCUUGAAUGAAAAGCGCGGGAGACCGGGGUGUAAGUUUAUCAUGUGACCUGUUAUUUUCGUCUGAUCUAACAUGGGAUGAACAGUCGAUUCCCCGUCAGAGAG